CUUGUACUCCCUCUGUCUGAAAAUACUUGUCAUCAAAAUAAAUAAAAGAAGAUGUAUCUAGAUGUAUAUUAGUAUUAGAUACAUUCAUUUUUGUCCAUUUUGAUGACAAGUAUUUUCGGACGGAGGGAGUAUAAA
rnacentral:pre_miRNA from 1 species